rnacentral:tRNA from 2 species
GCGAAAGUGGCGGAACUGGUAUACGCGCCAGACUUAGGAUCUGGUCCCGAAAGGGUUGGGGGUUCGAGUCCCCCCUUUCGCACCA